UUCCGGUUGAUCCGCCGGACCUGACUGCUAUCGGAUUGAUACUAAGCCAUGCGAGUCUUUGCAGUAAUGCAAGGCGGACUGCUCAGUAACACGUAGUCAACUUAACCUAUGGAUGGGUAUAACCUCGGGAAACUGAGAAUAAUUCCCAAUAGAUCAUUUAUCCUGGAAUGGUUAGUGAUUGAAAUGAUUCGUCGCCAUAGGAUAGGACUGCGGCCUAUCAGCUUGUUGGUGAGGUAAAGGCCCACCAAGGCUAUUACAGGUACGGGCUCUGAGAGAAGAAGCCCGGAGAUGGGUACUGAGACACGGACCCAGGCCCUAUGGGGCGCAGCAGGCGAGAAAACUUUGCAAUGUGCGAAAGCACGACAAGGUUAACCCGAGUGAUUUCUGCUAAAGAAAUCUUUUGCCAGUUCUAAAAAUACUGGUGAAUAAGGGGUGGGCGAGU
rnacentral:rRNA from 1 species